rnacentral:rRNA from 1 species
UACAGAGGUCUCAAGCGUUGUUCGGAUUCAUUGGGCGUAAAGGGUGCGUAGGCGGCGCGGUAAGUCGGGUGUGAAAUCUCGGAGCUUAACUCCGAAACUGCAUUCGAUACUGCCGUGCUUGAGGACUGGAGAGGAGACUGGAAUUUACGGUGUAGCGGUGAAAUGCGUAGAUAUUGGGAAGAACACCGGUGGCGAAGGCGGCUAUCUGGACUGUGAUUGACGCUGAGGCGCGAAAGCGUGGGGAGCAAACAGG